GUGUUUUAAGCUAAGUGUUAUUACAAAAAAGUCAAAAAGUUAAAAAAUUUAUGAAGUUACAGUAAGCUAAGAUUUAUUAUUGAAAGAAAAUGCCUUUUCAUAAAUUAGUGUAGCCCAAGUGUGCAGUGUUUAUAAAGUCUCCAAUAGUGUAAUGUCCUAAACCUUCACAGUCACUCCCCACUCACCCAGAACAACUUCCAGUCCUAUAAGUGCCCCAUACAAGAGUACCAUUUUUAAUUUUUUGAAGCGGAGCCUCACUCUGUCACCCAGGCUGGAGUGCAGUGGCACAAUCUCUGCUCACUGCAACCUCCACCUCCCAGGUUCCAGUGAUUCGCCUGCCUCAGCCUCCGAGUAGCUGGGAUUAUAGGUGCUCGCCACCACACCUGGAUAAUUUUUGUAUUUUUAGUAGAG
rnacentral:lncRNA from 1 species